GUGUCGUCAAGUAAUUUGUCUCACCUUGAGGCGGAAAUGUUUUCAAGAUUUACCAUUUCUGAUGGACUGUAUUUGUCUUCAAAUUCUAUUGUCUCCUUAUCUGAAAAAGUAUUUGCUGAUCAGGAAUACUUGGGAAUUCUGGAUUUAUCUUUCAACGCUAUUACUUCUUUGCCCGAGAGAGUGUUUGCAAAUCAAAAAGGCCUGUA